CAGUAGCCACGGUAAUACGAAGGGUGCAAGCGUUAAUCGGAAUUACUGGGCGUAAAGCGUGCGUAGGCGGUUUGUUAAGUCUGUUGUGAAAUCCCCGGGCUCAACCUGGGAAUGGCAAUGGAUACUGGCAAGCUAGAGUGUGUCAGAGGAUGGUGGAAUUCCCGGUGUAGCGGUGAAAUGCGUAGAGAUCGGGAGGAACAUCAGUGGCGAAGGCGGCCAUCUGGGACAACACUGACGCUGAGGCACGAAAGCGUGGGGAGCAAACAGGAUUAGAUACCCCGGUAGUCCCUGUCUCUUAUAC
rnacentral:rRNA from 1 species